rnacentral:misc_RNA from 1 species
GGAUGAAGAACGCAGUGAAAUGCGAUACGUAAUGUGAAUUGCAAAUUCAGUGAAUCAUCGAGUCUUUGAACGCACAUUGCGCCCCCUGGUAUUCCGGGGGGCAUGCCUGUCCGAGCGUCAUUGCUGCCCUCAAGCACGGCUUGUGUGUUGGGCCCCGUCCUCCGAUCCCGGGGGACGGGCCCGAAAGGCAGCGGCGGCACCGCGUCCGGUCCUCGAGCGUAUGGGGCUUUGUCACCCGCUCUGUAGGCCCGGCCGGCGCUUGCCGAUCAACCCAAAUUUUUAUCCAGGUUGACCUCGGAUCAGGUAGGGAUACCCGCUGAACUUAAGCAUAUCAAUAAGCGGAGGA